rnacentral:lncRNA from 1 species
AGGAAGAAAAGCACAGUCCGUUCUUUCAGACUUUUUGGAAAUGGGUCAGAGGGAUUUGAGGAGAUGGUCUUGUCCCCCCUGCUAAUCAACCUUUGGGCGAUAGCGCAUGGCCGCUUCUGUGCUGGUGCUUUUGUUUGUUGUGUCUCUGUGGACUAGACCAAGGAUGUUUGUCCCAGAAAAGUGCUGCUGCUGUACCCCUGCAUGGUGCCUUCUCCAGCCAGAGCUUGUUCUUUCUCAAGGCAUGUUAUUACCAACAGCCCUUGGUUGGCUCCACAGCCACCUGUCUAUCAGUGUUAGCCCCAUUAGCCCCAUAUCCUCCUGGAUCCUACACCCUGGCGGGAGGCAGGGCCCACGCACGGAACAGACCCAGCUGGGGCAGCUCCUGGGGGGAGCCCCAGUGUGACACAAAACGGUAUGUGUUGAAUGAAUGCUCAGUUUCUCGGCAGUCCUGCCUGGCAUGGCUGGACUGCCGAGAGCAAAGGGACGAGGGAAAGGGAGGUAAUCCAAGGAGAGACAUGCUGCGGGCUGCUGUGGGUGUGCAGAGGGCAGGGAAGGCUGCGGGAGGACAGAGAGUAAAGGGAACCCGCAGAACGAAACACUGUUUUUCAGAGAGUAUCUCCUGCAGCAUUACGUUGUUCCUUAGGAACAGCUGGAAUGGUUCCUUCUGUCACCAUCCAGCACCUGCUGUCCAGUGCAAACCUUGGGAAGAAGGAUUUUGCAGGGCGACCCUCGCCGAUUUCUGCCGACAAGUCAACGGGGCACUUCAACCCCCGGCCUUUGCGUGGCACAAAGCGCCUGUGCGGCGCUGCAGUGGUUUGAAGCCACUGGAACACCGGGAGCACGGACGGGCCAGUGGCUGAGGUACCAGGGCGGGCCGGCUUAGGGCUUGCUGCUCCCCGAAGCAAACAAAAAUCGAGUCACUUCAAGUCAGACCCGCGAGCAUGAAAUACACUUCAUUUUUCAUAUUUUUUAAUAUUUUUAAAUGUCUUGUACAUAUUUUUGUAGCUCUAUGCAUUGGCAUUAAUAUCACGCAUUUCCGCCCUCACGCCCUCCCCCGCGCCGCUGCAGCCGCCCAAGAACGCCCACAAAGCACGUCUGCGAAGCGAUUCUAAGCUCCCGGUAUCCCUCGGUUUAUCCAGCUCCGUGUCCAACCUCCGG